rnacentral:rRNA from 1 species
CCUACGGGUGGCUGCAGUGGGGAAUUUUCCGCAAUGGGCGAAAGCCUGACGGAGCGAUACCGCGUGUCGGAAGAAGGCCUUAGGGUUGUAAACGACUGUCGGCGGGGAAGAAAAAAAUGACGGUACCCGCAAAGGAAGCACCGGCUAACUCUGUGCCAGCAGCCGCGGUAAGACAGAGGGUGCAAGCGUUGUCCGGAUUUAUUGGGCGUAAAACGUCUGUAGGCGGUUUAUUAAGUCUAAAGUUAAAUAGUUGAGCUCAACUCAAUCUCUGCUUU